rnacentral:lncRNA from 1 species
UACACAUGAACAUAUAAACUGCGUUACAUUAUUCCUCCACGUGAAUUCUUCUCCUCAUUUCUCUCGGUCAUCCUGGAUCUCUCCUAUUAUAAAUAAGCUUGUGUCUCUCCCUCGUCAAGACGCAACACUCGCUAACCGAACUAUUUUAACAAAAGCAGUGCCUUAGAAAAGGAGAGUCUGGUCAUCAUGCGCGCUACAUAAAAAUAAAAAUAUGAACUAAUAACGUAGCUAAGCUUAUAUAAAUGAAUAAUGUCAAACUGAAUCAAAUACAUUCAUAGAAAAUAAUAUACAAAUAAACAGAGGAUUUACAAAUUAAGAAACAAUUUCAUUUGCGUCAUUUUUAAGCUUAAACGCAUGAGGGUGACAAGAAGUAAUUACUUCCUCAAAAAUGAAAAAUUUUGAAGUCCAAAACUUCCAACCGUCUUCUCAAUGUCCUUAUACUUGGUAGAGGAAAUCCUUGUCGAAGUAGCAUCUCGUAUUCUGUGGUACCACAAACAAUUCGUAGUUGCAAUGCUUUUUUAUGGUACAAGGAGACCAGACGGCGAUAUUUUUUGUAUAACUGCACAGAUAACGAGGAUCAGGCAUGAGCAGGAUCUGCAAAAAAUUCAUCUUGAUGAGGGAGUGGGUGAAUAUCUUGUCUACCACUGGAGAGAUAGUUUGGGUAAGUUGACACAAGUCCAAGCACUUCCAUCUGGUUUGAGGACAGAAGCUAUUGGAGAGACCCAUUCCAAACAAUUAAUCUUAGAAAUGGUACCACGUUUCUCCAUCUCUCGAAGCCCCAGAUGCACUGAAAAGGAUCUAAUAUACCCGGGACAAGUAUUGUCUUUAGGACCUCCACUUGGGAUUCCAUAGAAUCAACCACAUUGGAUGUAUUAAGAUAAUUAUUUUUCUUAAGCAAACUGAAAUCCAAGUAAUCCUAAAAACCUAGGAUUGCCUGCCCAAUAGGAGACAUAAUAAAAUUACAACGAAAAGGGUCAGAGCCAUUUAAGGUAACAGACAACCUGACAGAGCUCAGAGUUUUACUUUUCCACCACCAAAGACCUCUAUUGGACCAGUAUUCUUAACAACCUUUGACAUGUCCACCAUAUAUUUAGAACGCAUAGGCUCUAUUCCCUACUCUAUCAUUAAACCAGAAAGAGAUAGACGAACUGAUAGGCGCAGAUGACGGACAUCAUGUCCUAAAAUGGCCCAGUUUCCCACACCGGGUUCACUCUUUGCCAAACGCAGGGCAUUUUGACUUCUGAAAGACAUGGUUUCUCCCACAAAACUUGAAAUUCCCUCUGUCCAUAUUUGGAUUUGCCUUGGAAGUAGACUACAUCACUUUGGAACUACUGAGACCUUUUGGGCUCUUAUAUUGGGAUGCCAUGACAGAUACACUCGACCCCAUUAAUUUAGCGUGGCUGAUGGAGAUUUCCUACGACCUUGCUAUUGCCAGUGCGUCUGUCAACUUUGUGCUUCCCCUCUCGAAGACAUUUGAAUGAACCGUGGAGACGAAAUAUUCUUGACCAACACGUCCAGAAUAAUUUUGUCUUUGAAAGAAACUUUCCAUCUCCCACACAAUAAUCGGCCAAACUUUUCCUAGCGACGCAACCGAGUUACGUAGUCAUCCAUAUCCUCCUGACUCCCUGUUUAAUCUCAGACAGCAGGAAACAUUUGAAUAGCAGACUUUUCGAUUGGGAGAAGGCAUCACAAAUCGCCCUAACCGUCGAGGUAAAAACUUUCACUUCAGGCAAAGCAACAAUUUUCAGGCUGGUGAGCGAUUAGGAAAAAAAUUCCGGUCCGAUCAAAAAUUGAAAUCAGAAAUUCACCGUGAAUUAGCGAUUUAACGAUCAGGACCAUUUGUGAUCAGCGAUCCGACCAAUUUAAUUGCUAUCAUAUUCAAAUAUACUACUCCUUUAAACCUAUAACUAAACUUAUAUAUAUAUAUGUCUUUAACUGAAAUAAACGAUUUAUACACCUUUUUCAAA